GAAAGGUUUCGGGGACGAAACCUUCUUUAAGGGGGGUAGACUUGUAACGCCCCAAAAACCCAAAUGUUAAAAAUUUCAAGAAUGACUUAUUUUUAUAUGGUGUGACAUUAAGGUAACUGAGUUAGCGAACUUGGUUUUAAAUACAAGUUAGUAUGUGAAACGAAAUAAAUGACAAGUUUUAAAAGUUUGAGGGGUUAAAAGGAAAAUGUGUUAAAUAAAACACUUUACAAAAAAAAAUGUCAGUAUCUUGGGGGUUCUAUGCGUGCGAUCGAGAGCAGGGCCAAGGGAAGAGCCAAAAACCCUAACAACCAAAAAUCAUCAAAUUGAUAAGGAGAUCAAGGGAAAAAUCGAAUGCAUGGGUCUGGAUACUCUUUAAUCUAAGUGUAUUGAUCAUAAGGAGUCAUGUCAUCAAGAGAACAAACAAGGAUGUGCAAUGGGUCGGAGGUGAACACGGAAGCUAUGUGCAAAUUCGGACGCACGAGGUUUAUGUAUGUCGGACUUUCGAAGUAUUGAUAUAGAAAUGAUACGAUUGAAUGUUGGAAGGAUAAUUGGGUGGAAGUAACUUAUGCGGUUAGAAUUUUAGUUUAUACAAUAUUUUAUGCUUGGUCGUCAUCAUCUACUAACGGGUAAAUCCUCAAUUUAGGCGACUUGGAGAAUCGGAGCGAGCGCGUGUUCAUGUUAUGUCAUACCAAACGCUUCCGCUAGUUUGUCCAAAUGUUUUUGGUCCAAAAUUUGUUGUAAUGGUUUUUAGUAGUAUUUUGUUGAACGAAUCGUAGAAUUGUAUCUAGUUUGAUUAUGAUUAAAACAGGGGUAUGCCCGUUUUACGGACGGGUCAUGCCCAAAUUUUGUUAAAAUUAAUGCAUAUGUUAUUGAUAUCA